rnacentral:rRNA from 1 species
CAAUAGCGUAUAUUAAAGUUGUUGCAGUUAAAAAGCUCGUAGUUGGAUUUGUGGCUGUCACGGGCGGCCUAUCACUUAGUGUUAGUGCUUGCCUGUGUCGCCAUCCUUGGGUGGAGCCCGUGUGGCAUUAGGUUGUCGUGCGGGGGAUGCCCAUCGUUUACUGUGAGAAAAUUAGAGUGUUCAAAGCAGGCUUAUGCCGUUGAAUAUGUUAGCAUGGAAUAAUAAGAUAGGACCUCGGUACUAUUUAGUUGGUUUGCGCACCGAGGUAAUGAUUAAUAGGGACAGUUGGGGGUAUUCGUAUUUCAUUGUCAGAGGUGAAAUUCUUGGAUUUCUGAAAGACGAACUACUGCGAAAGCAUUUACCAAGGAUGUUUUCAUUAA